AACCAGGAUGUUGGCUUAGAAGCAGCCACUCAUUCAAAGAGUGCGUAAUAGCUCACUGGUCGAGUGAUCCUGCGCCGAAGAUUUCCGGGGCUAAAACUUACUACCGAAGCUACGGCAUCAGUAAUGAUGGGUAGGGGAGCUUCCCAUACGGGUUGAAGCAUGACCGUAAGGACAUGUGGACAGUAUGGGAGUGAGAAUGUUGGCAUGAGUAGCGAGAUGUGGGUGAGAAUCCCACAGGCCGUAAACCCAAGGUUUCCAGGGGAAGGUUCGUCCGCCCUGGGUUAGUCGGGACCUAAGCUGAGGCCGAAAGGCGUAGGUGAUGGACAACAGGUUGAUAUUCCUGUACUACCGAUAACCGUUUGAGAGAAGGGAUGACACAGUAGGAUAAGCUAAGCACACUGUUGGUUAUGUGUGCCCAAGCAUUGAGGCAGUCAAAGUAGGCAAAUCCGCUUUGAUAAUGCUGGGAUGUGAUGGGGAGCGAAAUUUAGUAGCGAAGUAGCUGAUUUCACACUGUCAAGAAAAGUCUCUAUCGAGGUUAAAGGUACCCGUACCGCAAACCGACACAGGUGGGUGAGGAGAGUAUCCUAAGGCCAGCGAGAGAACUGUUGUUAAGGAACUCGGCAAAAUGACCCCGUAACUUAGGGAUAAGGGGUGCCACCAUCAGGUGGCCGCAGAGAAUAGGCCCAAGCGACUGUUUACCAAAAACAUAGGUUUCUGCUAAGUCGCAAGACGAUGUAUAGGAGCUGACGCCUGCCCGGUGCUGGAAGGUUAAGGGGAUCUGUUAGAGCAAUCGAAGCAGUGAACUUAAGCCCCAGUAAACGGCGGCCGUAACUAUAACGGUCCUAAGGUAGCGAAAUUCCUUGUCGGGUAAGUUCCGACCCGCACGAAAGGCGUAACGAUUUGGGCACUGUCUCAACAACAGACUCGGUGAAAUUGUAAUUCCGGUGAAGAUGCCGGAUACCUGCGACAGGACGGAAAGACCCCAUGGAGCUUUACUGUAGCUUGACAUUGGGUCUUGGUACUACAUGUACAGGAUAGGUGGGAGGCUUUGAAACCAGGACGCCAGUUUUGGCGGAGCCAUCCUUGGGAUACCACCCUUGUAGUACUGGGACUCUAACCAUAGGCCAUGAAUCUGGUCUUGG
rnacentral:rRNA from 1 species